rnacentral:rRNA from 1 species
AGAGUUUGAUCCUGGCUCAGAACGAACGCUGGCGGCGUGCCUAACACAUGCAAGUCGAACGGGGAUAAGUAGCUUGCUAUUUAUUCUAGUGGCGCACGGGUGAGUAACGCGUAGAUAAUCUGCCUUAGACUCUGGGAUAACAUCUCGAAAGGGGUGCUAAUACCGGAUAAGCCCACGGGGACGUGAGUUCUUGCGGGAAAAGGGGGCCUCUGCAUAUGCUCUUGAUCUAAGAUGAGUCUGCGUACCAUUAGCUUGUUGGUAGGGUAAUGGCCUACCAAGGCGACGAUGGUUAGCUGGUCUGAGAGGAUGAUCAGCCACACUGGGACUGAGACACGGCCCAGACUCCUACGGGAGGCAGCAGUGGGGAAUUUUGCGCAAUGGGGGAAACCCUGACGCAGCAACGCCGCGUGAGUGAUGAAGGCUUUCGGGUCGUAAAGCUCUGUCUAGAGGCAAGAAGUGAUAUUCGGUUAAUACCCGGGUUUCUUGACGGUACCUCUGAAGGAAGCACCGGCUAACUCCGUGCCAGCAGCCGCGGUAAUA